AUAACGCCGAGGACGCCGAGGGAGACCUUGGCGGCGGCCAGGUCCGGGUGCCCGUCGCCAAGCUCCCUCACCACCACGAACCCACGGCUCGCCGGCGCCGGCGUCACGAUCCUCAGCCCGACGACGUACUCAUGAACAACACCCUUGCCCCAUAGCGAGCUCCUGUGCGCGCCCGUCACGAGCAGGCCCCCGAUCGUGACGCCGGACCAGUAG
rnacentral:rRNA from 1 species